rnacentral:rRNA from 1 species
CGCGCAGGCGGGCUGAUCAGUCUGGGGUGAAAGUUCACGGCUUAACCGUGAAAUUGCCUUGGAUACUGUCAGCCUUGAGUUCGGAAGAGGAAAGUGGAAUUCCUGGUGUAGCGGUGAAAUGCGUAGAUAUCAGGAAGAACACCGGUGGCGAAGGCGGCUUUCUGGUCCGAAACUGACGCUGAGGCGCGAAAGUGUGGGUAGCGAACA